CAUCAGAACAAUUUGUUUACUGUGGCAUUGCACAGGCUGCAGAGUCCAAGACUGGCUACAAUAAACGGUAAAAACCAGAGGAAACUCUCUAGAACAGGAAAAAUAUUGCGAUAGAAACGUGGUUUUGGCUUUCAAGGAAAGAGGCACUUGACUAGCAUUUUAGCUGGGAUUUUUUGCCCUUGUCCAAGCAGUCUUUAUUCGGCAACUCAGUUUUAAAUAGCUUGGCCCAAAAAGUCGCUGUGUCAUGCAGUACCUUAUUCUGCAUGGGAAGCUAAGCCCUGGAGACUCACCAUCAGCACGGAGGAGGUGCCAGGAGCCUGGCCGGAGGGUGAGCCACUGCCUGGUGGGAAAGAUCCUGCCGAGUGACCUGGUGUAAGCUGCCAGCGCGAGGGGUGUAAUCCCGCAAGUGUUUGAUCCAGUGGCUGUGCUUACACUACGGAGGUAACUCGUGCGUUGAAAGCUGAAAUUCAGCAGAAGUUGAUGAGACCACCACAGAGAAACGCUGGUUCACCAUACUGGCUAGUACCAGCUUGAUCUGGCUCCGGCUCUGGGAUGUGCAGCCUACAGACACAGUAAUGAAAAGAAAUAUUCUGAAAAGGAUGAGUCAGCUGGAGGCCAGUGGGGAGAGCGUGCGGGAUCUGACUGGAAUUUAAAAGUUAUGAGGCUACAUGUUGUUUUGAGCCCUGCCAGCGGAGAAACUCACACACGCUAAAUGUUUUGUCAUCUGGCAUAAUUAUGUUACUUUGCUGAUUAGCUGGUAAGCUCUUUUCAAAAUGUUUUUAGACAAUAGCAAGUUUAUGAAAGAUAAAAAACUUCCUGAUGCACCACCAACAGGCGCCUGCUUUACGCACUGUUGUGAACUGUCUUCCCCAGAACCCCACCGCACUGUUGAACAGCUGCAAAACUGUGCUGUUACUACGUAUUGGAUGAUUUAUCCAUUAAAACAGUUGGGAUAGCUUCACGCCUUCACUUCUGUGCUGUAAGUACAUCUGUGCUGACGUGAGCUGUGCAUACACCCACACUUGUAGCGCAGACUGUAUUUCUGCCCUUGAUUUUUGUACGUUUGCAUGCGUCAGGACAACAGCAGUUGGGUGUGAAGCUUCUUUGCUCACUUCUCCAGCCAGGUACCAGUGCAUCCUUCCUGCCCUCGCUGGAAAGUGGUGCUCAGCAUUUGGAUAAUUUGCAAGACAGAUUUGAGGGUUUGGCUGUAAGGUUCUUUAAAUAAAUGACACCAGAAUUAUACCUAUUCGUUGUGUGAAAAGAUAUGCUUUCCAUACCCUCUUUAUAGAGAGCUGAUCCACCCAGUCCCACUUCCCAAACCUGGACAGACUAGUGGGGAGAGUCCGUGCUUGUUGCUGGAACAUCUCCUGAGAGGGGGCUGGGACGGAAACACCCCUGACACCAGCUGUGACUGGCCACCCUUUGCAGUUGCACUAUGUCUGCCUUCCCUGCAUUCCUUCAUCUUUCCUUAUCGUUUACAGAGAUGCUGACAUAAACUGCGUAACUGGCCAUGAGAAAGGUGGGUACCCACCAGUGGGUGUAAGCCACAACCAAUUGCUCCCCCUUUCAGGGAGGUAGGUCCCUUUCUCAAGUGUGGAUGAAUAAGACAUCAGUUCUGUCAGACUAAACCAGAACAGGUAAAUUCUCAAAGUUAUUUCCUGUAAUCUUUUGUGGGAAACAGGAAAAUAUCAACAGUGUUUUAUCACUCUCAUUGACACACGUGUGAGGUUAUUCCCCAGCUGCCUGGGAUGGUUAGCAAAGGGCCUGAAGCGGGUUCAGAGCCAUUAGUGGUUUUCACCGAGGGCUUGUAGGGGACCUUUAGGCUGCAAAAAGGGGCACCGGUGAGUUUUAGACAAGGCAACCCAAUUUCAACCCCAGGAAAGUGCUGCAGCAAAUAAUCAUAAAGCUAUUUGUAAACACCCAGGGGGGUAGUGACCAACGGGAAUUUGUAGGGAACAGACCAUGUUAAAUCACUCCAGUUAUGACAGGGGAAAUCCUGUCAUGUAGAGAGAAGAGGCGGAUGUACCCCUGCCUCCAGUUUUUAUUCAGUUCAAGAAGGUUGGGCGACAUGGUUGGGCUGAAGCUAGUGCAAGAGAUGCUGCAAAAUCACAGCGGCAGCAAGGCAGUCACAGCUGAUUCAGUGCUGUUUCAAACUGGCAGUGAGGUGGACUUGAGGAUGUCAUCUUGCGACCAGCCAGGGUUAAAUUGUCAUUCCUCCCUGGAGAGUGGAACUGAUAAUACCCAAUUACAGUCUCCGAUGACCCAAGGUAAAGAGGACCAGUGGAUGCAGGGAGGUGGGAUGGCAUUCAGGAGGACCAUGUGGGGCUGGAAGAAGCAAGGUGCAAUGCAGGAGGGACCAAGGUGUUGCAUCCUGGGAUGGGGUGAAGCCCCAGCACAGCCAGGCAAAUGCCACGCUCCCAGUUGGAUGCUGCACUUCAGGAGCAACAGAGAUGCCCGGAGAGGCUUCAGAGGUGAGCAGUGGAAAUGAUGAAAGACCUGGAAAAUACAGCUUAUGAGGAACAGAGGAAUGACCUGGGGUUGCUGGGCUUAAAAAAGGAGGAGGUGCUUGUAGAGGAAUUGCAGAGGAAUGAAGGCAGGUUAAUUAGCAUUGAUAAUAUACAGCUGUGGGCUGGCUUCAGGGGUGGUGGGUUGGCUGACGUGGGUAAUGUGCAGCUGUGGCUGGUUCCUGCUAGUAGUUAAAUAGCUCUAAGGGGUAUGGAAGAGGAGCACUGGAUGAAGAGAGACCCGGAAGAAGCAGAGGGAGGAGAGAGAGUGCCCUGGAUGUGGGAGAGACAAGGAGAGGCCCUGGGAGAAGCAGA